UGCCAGCAGCCGCGGUAAUACGGAGGGUGCGAGCGUUAAUCGGAAUUACUGGGCGUAAAGGGUGCGUAGGUGGUUGAUUAAGUUAUCUGUGAAAUUCCUGGGCUUAACCUGGGACGGUCAGAUAAUACUGGUUGACUCGAGUAUGGGAGAGGGUAGUGGAAUUUCCGGUGUAGCGGUGAAAUGCGUAGAGAUCGGAAGGAACACCAGUGGCGAAGGCGGCUACCUGGCCUAAUACUGACACUGAGGCACGAAAGCGUGGGGAGCAAACAGGAUUAGAUACCCUGGUAGUCCACGCUGUAAACGAUGUCAACUAGCUGUU
rnacentral:rRNA from 1 species